AUUGAACGCUGGCGGCAGGCCUAACACAUGCAAGUCGAACGGUAACAGGAAGCAGCUUGCUGCUUCGCUGACGAGUGGCGGGCGGGUGAGACAUGUCUGGGAAACUGCCUGAUGGAGGGGGAUAACUACUGGAAACGGUAGCUAAUACCGCAUAACUUCGCAAGACCAAAGAGGGGGACCUUAGGGCCUCUUGCCUGCGGGUGGGCCCAGAUGGGAUUAGCUUGUAGGUGGGGUAACGGCUCACCUAGGCGACGAUCCUUAGCUGGUCUGAGAGGGUGACCAGCCACACUGGAACUGAGACACGGUCCAGACUCCUACGGGAGGCCGCAGUGGGGAAUUUUGCACAAUGGGCGCAAGCCUGAUGCAGUCAUGCCGCGUGUAUGAGGAAGGCCUUCGGGUUGUAAAGUACUUUCAGCGGGGAGGAAGGGAGUAAGGUUAAUACCUGUGCUCAUUGACGUUACCCGCAGAAGAAGCACCGGCUAACUACGUG
rnacentral:rRNA from 1 species